ACACAACUAACUCUUGAUCACAGGAACACACAGCAGAUCGUCGAGCACACAUAGACGACAAAAGUGAAAGCUAUAGUCUGAUUGAUAGACUCGUCAUCUGAUUGCUCAUGGGAAAAAGCAAGGUUAAAUCCGGUUACGGUGUAUGGGCGGCCGUGGCAUCGUGGUUCUCUUGCUUUGGCUCUGCAAAAGCGGCUGAUGACGCCGGCCGUCCCGGUAGUGCUGGGCCGUAUGACCCAGCGCCGGUGGCCGGAAUGGUUGCAGCUGCUAAGCAUUUCUCCAAUGCGCAAUGUGUAAAGUUUGGUUGAUAACUGUGUGUUAGUGAAACUUGUGCAUAUGUAGACUAUGGUUAUUGUUUUUUCUUUUAUAUAUAUAUAUAUAUAUAGUAGAGAGUAGGAUACCCCAAUGCGCACCGUGUAAAGAUGGUUGAUAGCUGUGUGUUAGUGAAAUUUGUACAUAUGUAUAUACUAUGGUUAUUGUUUUUUCUUUUAUAUAGUAGAGAGUAGGAUACAUUUGUAAUAAGAAGAAAUGUACUGAGAUUGUUGUAUUAUUAUUUACAAGAACCAGCAAAUAAAAUUAUAUAUAUUCUCU
rnacentral:lncRNA from 1 species